UGGACUUGGUGAUGUCUCGAGUUCCCUUCCAGCCCUACAUUUCUGUGACUCUAUGUUGACUGAGACAAUAUUACAGUAAAAUGUCUCCUUUGGGUACCCAGAUGGAGCUUCACAGUCUGCAUUAUCUUCCAUUUUCUGAUGUAUAGAAUACAAAUUAUUAGCAAAUGCACAUAGCCCCUUCCCCUGACCUAACUAGCCUCUGGGAGCGAGAUCUCAUCCCUAUUCUCUAGUGCCCCAUUUCAGUGCCAGCGAUGCCUGGCUAAUCUUUGAAUGUGGCACAAACACCAGGGAUAAAAGCACCUAAUUGACUAAGGAUCUAAGUCCGAUUGACUUUCAGGGGCACGUAGACCCCGAAAGGCCCAGAUCCUGAAAGAUAUGUGGACUCCGAACCCCCAUUGAUUUCCAUCUCAGCCUUAAGUCAUUUUUGAAAACGGGGCAUAGACUCCAAAAUAACAUAGGUCCUUUUGAAAGGUUUUUCCAAAAUCUCUCACUGAAAACAAACCCACAAACAAAAUAGCCAUCAAGUAAGAGUGACCUAUUUAUGUACAAAACACGUUAAUGUGGGCCUGGAAAAUCUGUUAUUCAAAUAAUGAAUUAUAUCUACAUUAUCUAAUGUUCCUUGGAGUAAAAUUUAUAUAAGUAGUAAGUCUCCCUUUUCUCUGGAGGUCUCUUUCAUGAGCUGUAUGUUCAGAGAUACCACCUUCAUUUCCAGAAAUUAAGAUCAUGUACCCUUUACCCUGGCAUAUUCCCUAAGUACCCAAUGUUCUUCCAAAGACUUCACUACUGGACAUGGUGAACUCCAACUCACCGAAUGUUCCCCAGCUAAUCUUGGUUUUGCCUACACAUGUGAGAAGAUGCAGUGCAAUGCAUGCAAAUGAGAUAUAGGUCAGUGAAAUGCACACCAAGAAAUCUCAUCCAUUUACAAUAAC